rnacentral:rRNA from 1 species
UACGUAGGGACCGAGCGUUGUCCGGAUUCAUUGGGCGUAAAGAGCUCGUAGGCGGCCACUCAAGUCGAAUGUGAAACCUCGAGGCUUAACCUCGAGCCUGCAUUCGAUACUGGGCGGCUAGAGUCUGGUAGGGGGAUCUGGAAUUCCUGGUGUAGCGGUGAAAUGCGUAGAUAUCUGGAGGAACACCGGUGGCGAAGGCGGCGUUCUGGACUGCAACUGACACUGAGAAACGAAAGCCAGGGGAGCAAACGGG